rnacentral:rRNA from 1 species
UUCGCAAUGCCCGAAAGGGUGACGAAGCGACGCCGCGUGUGGGAAGAAGGCCUUCGGGUUGUAAACCACUGUCGGGAGUUAAGAAAUGCAAGGAUAUUAAUAGUGUCUUUGUUUGACUAAGGCUCCGGAGGAAGCCACGGCUAACUCUGUGCCAGCAGCCGCGGUAAUACAGAGGCGGCAAGCGUUGUUCGGAAUUAUUGGGCGUAAAGAGCACGUAGGCGGCUAUGUAAGUCGGUUGUGAAAGCCUUCCGCUCAACGGGAGAACAGCAUCCGAUACUACAUGGCUUGAGUGCGGGAGGGGAGAGUGGAACUUCUGGUGGAGCGGUGAAAUGCGUAGAUAUCAGAAGGAACGCCGGCGGCGAAAGCGGCUCUCUGGCCCAUAACUGACGCUGAGUGUGCGAAAGCUAGGGGAGCAAACGGGAUUAGAUACCCCGGUAGUCCUAGCCGUAAACGAUGGGCACUAAGUAGAGGGGUUUU